rnacentral:rRNA from 1 species
GUCUAUGGCCAUACCAACCUGAAGGUGCCUGAUCUCAUCUGAUCUCUGAAUAAGCAGAGUUGGGCCUAGUUAGUACUUGGAUGGGAGUUCUGUACUUCAUUAAGGCCCAGAGAAA